UGAUUACUUCAGUACUGAAGAGUUGUAUAUCUCACAAAACAGAAAGAACCAGAAACUAGCUAUAAACCAAAGAUGCAUUAUUUCAACAAGUCUCCUAAUAAGAAUCUUAUUGCAAAGAGUGGCCAACUCCACACAAGGCCUAUUCUGUUAAGAGUGAUCACAUUUUUACACAAAGGCUAAGAAGGAAGACUAUUUACUUUCUAUAGGGUGUGAGAGAUUAGAGAUAUAACAGCUUCUCUGAACCACUUUUGCUCUCAUAUCAACAAGCUUCUCAAACCGUAGAUGUAAUAAAAGAUCCGUCACCUGCAAGUUAUGAAAACCCUAAAUAAGACUCGAGGGUGCAGAAAAUGUCAUAUAAUCAUAUAUAUCAUCAUCAAUAGUCGAUGCUCAUGAAUGAUUAACAUACCUUCAACUGCAAGAAACCAUCCCACGAACCAUCAAAACGUAACAGAGCGACAAAGAUCAAUGGAAAGCGAGUCCAUGGAUUUAAGCACUAGCGAUCUUGAUGCAACCUCCCCCCAAACCUCACCUCCUUCACGUCUUUCUACUGUAAUCUCUAUGCGCCAAACAUGUUUAGAACCAUAUUCGUUGGAAGUU
rnacentral:lncRNA from 1 species